AUGGGGUACCUUGGAAUUAAUUUCUGCAUAAACGUGUUCCGUAAAAGAGGAGGAAAGAACGUAAUUUCCUUAUAAACUCACGAUUGUUGGCCAUUUCCAGGGUAAUUAGCGGUUCGCGAAUUUUUGCACGAUGAUAUACAUCGGCGCCGCCUCGUUUCGCUAAAUUAAACGUACCAUAUUUCAUAACGAUCUCACAAUGGAAAAUUCGCAAGAGUAUCGUAAAAAGCGAUUGCCACACUGAUAAAUUGUAGGAUAUCGUAAAUAAUAAUCGUACAGUAUCCAGUUACGAUUAUUAGUUUUGUAAUUUUCUACAAUUACUUCGCUACAUCCACGUCAUCAAUGCCUGCAGUUGAUAGAUGAAUAGACAUUUAUAUAUAUUUAUAUUUUUUACGCAAUGUAAAAUAAAUCUAUUCCGACGUAUCGAAAAACACUUAAUCAUGCAGCAGGGAAACCUGGAUAAGACAAAAGGAGAAUUGUAACACGGGAUUGUAACUUUUGCGACCCUCAUCUCAUCAACCACGAAUUGUAAUCCAGUUGUCAAUCAAAUCUCUUCUGGGCCUUCUACAAAGUAGGAAAUCGCCAUCGUUGUAAAAUUCUACAGAAAUUGAUUACGUCAAAUAAACGAAGGAUUGAAAGAAACUGAACAGUAGCGUACCUGGUAUUAUUAAAACAAAUGUCCAAAGCAUGUCUCAAUGAUUGUUCGCUCAAAUCAUCGAACGAGAGUACUACCGCGGCACCUCUGGUCUUCGCUGCAG